rnacentral:misc_RNA from 1 species
UACGUAGGGUACAAGCGUUAAUCGGAAUUACUGGGCGUAAAGCGCGCGUAGGUUGUUAGUUAAGCGAGAUGUGAAAUCCCCGGGCUUAACCUGGGAAUUGCGUUUCGAACUGGCUGACUAGAGCACGGUAGAGGGUGGUGGAAUUUCAGGUGUAGCGGUGAAAUGCGUAGAGAUCUGAAGGAACAUCAGUGGCGAAGGCGACCACCUGGACUGAUACUGACACUGAGGUGCGAAAGCGUGGGGAGCAAACAGG